rnacentral:rRNA from 1 species
CGUGUAGGCGGGGAUAUAAGUCAGAUGUGAAAUUCCGGGGCUCAACUCCGGAGCUGCAUCUGAAACUAUAUCUCUUGAGUGCUGGAGAGGAAAGCGGAAUUCCUAGUGUAGCGGUGAAAUGCGUAGAGAUUAGGAGGAACACCAGUGGCGAAGGCGGCUUUCUGGACAGUAACUGACGCUGAGGCGCGAAAGCGUGGGGAGCAAACAGGAUUAGAUACCCUGGUAGUCCACGCUGUAAACGAUGGAUACUAGGUGUAGGAGGUAUCGACCCCUUCUGUGCCGGAGUUAACACAAUAAGUAUCCCACCUGGGGAGUACGGCCGCAAGGUUGAA